AGGCGCCUACGGGACGCAGCAGUGAGGAAUAUUGGUCAAUGGACGCAAGUCUGAACCAGCCAUGCCGCGUGCAGGAUGACGGCUCUAUGAGUUGUAAACUGCUUUUGUACGAGGGUAAACCCCGAUACGUGUAUCGGGUUGAAAGUAUCGUACGAAUAAGGAUCGGCUAACUCCGUGCCAGCAGCCGCGGUAAUACGGAGGAUCCGAGCGUUAUCCGGAUUUAUUGGGUUUAAAGGGUGCGUAGUCGUUUUGCUACGGUAG
rnacentral:rRNA from 1 species